GACGAACGCUGGCGGCGUGCUUAACACAUGCAAGUCGAACGGUAAGGCCCUUCGGGGUACACGAGUGGCGAACGGGUGAGUAACACGUGGGUGAUCUGCCCUGCACUUCGGGAUAAGCCUGGGAAACUGGGUCUAAUACCGGAUAGGACUCCUGGCUUCAUGGUUGGGGGUGGAAAGCUUUUGCGGUGUGGGAUGGGCCCGCGGCCUAUCAGCUUGUUGGUGGGGUAAGGGCCUACCAAGGCGACGACGGGUAGCCGGCCUGAGAGGGUGACCGGUCACACUGGGACUGAGAUACGGCCCAGACUCCUACGAGAGGCAGCAGUGGGGAAUAUUGCACAAUGGGCGCAAGCCUGAUGCAGCGACGCCGCGUGAGGGAUGACGGCCUUCGGGUUGUAAACCUCUUUCAGCUAUGACGAAGCGCAAGUGACGGUAGUAGCAGAAGAAGGACCGGCUAACUACGUGCCAGCAGCCGCCGUAA
rnacentral:rRNA from 1 species